rnacentral:lncRNA from 1 species
CAUUUUUUAUUGGCAUACAUCAUUUUAUAUAUCCAAGGCUCUUUUAAACCUUUAAAAAAACAGCCUCUGUUCUCCUGUCAGUGCUUGAAGCACAAAAAGAGUUGAACUAGACUCUAAAAUUGUUAUUUACUGAUUCUUACACUAAGCACAUGGCAUUAUUAAAGAGAGUAAAAACCAGCAAAGACUGUUGCUUGGAGUCGAAAUAUUGAGUCCGCGAGCCGAUAGAGUGACACAUUUCCAUUCGGACUGUCCCCUUGUGAACUAGCAUGUUAAAAAGAUCAGAUAUUUUUAGCUUUUCUCAUUACUUGGCGUCCGUCGUCAUCUGAAACAGAUAUAUGACAAUUUUAACGAAUUAGCGAAUCUCUGAUACAAGCGUUUAUUUAUACAUGAACAAAGUAAUUAUUGAGGUUUAGAUUUGCUCUACAUUUGCUGAAUGAUUGGAAAUAAAACAAUACUAUAGAACACACUACCCCUUAUUUUCGCUCUGGAUAUUUAGUAUUCAUACUUUCAUUUGACAAAGUCAUGCUGAUUGUGGGAUUCGUGGGAAAAAUUUGGUUGAUAGGGAAUCAUUGAAGAAUGACUGGAGCGGGCCCCUCCUUAGGAAAAGUUAUGGAUCCGCCACUGUAUAGAUUAUAAGCAUUUGCAAAGCAUACGAAAAAAUAAGCUUAACUCGUUCUUAAAGUUGCAUGGAAAACAUAAAAAAAAAUAAAAAAAAAGCUUUAAUAUAUGAAGGAGCCACAUCUGCAUGUG